UAUACUUUAAAUCCUCCAUAACUCUCCAACACUGCAGUUCAACUAUUUGGUUAAAGCUGUUCAACACACACAUGUUCAUAUGAAAUAUUGGUGAGAGGGCCCGUGCAUUAUAAAGAACAGAGGAACAGAUGAUCGGUGUUGGAUGUGAAGAUGGGACACACCUUGCUCUCUCUACUGGGUUUUUUCUUGCUGAAUUCACUGAACCGUGGACAAGCUCAAG